rnacentral:misc_RNA from 1 species
UACAGAGGGUGCAAGCGUUAAUCGGAAUUACUGGGCGUAAAGGGCGCGUAGGCGGUUUAGUAAGUUAUGUGUGAAGACUCUGGGCUUAACCUGGGACGUGCACAUAAUACUGAUAAACUAGAGUAGAGUAGAGGAAAGUGGAAUUUCCGGUGUAGCGGUGAAAUGCGUAGAUAUCGGAAGGAACACCAGUGGCGAAGGCGGCUUUCUGGGCUCAUACUGACGCUGAGGCGCGAAAGCGUGGGGAGCAAACAGG